rnacentral:rRNA from 1 species
CACGUAGGGCGCAAGCGUUGUCCGGAAUUAUUGGGCGUAAAGAGCUCGUAGGCGGUCUGUUGCGUCCGCUGUGAAAACUCGGGGCUUAACCCCGAGCCUGCAGUGGAUACGGGCAGACUAGAGGUAGGUAGGGGAGAAUGGAAUUCCCGGUGUAGCGGUGAAAUGCGCAGAUAUCGGGAGGAACACCAGUGGCGAAGGCGAGUCUCUGGGAUGAUGCUGACGCUGAGGCGCGAAAGCCAGGGGAGCAAACGGG